AAAUAACACACAUGGCAGAGGAGAAUAACAGAGAAAGGAAGGAGGGGGACCAAAAAAGAAGAAGAAAAAAGAAGAAAUGUGCGUUUUGAAGCUUUAAUUCUCCAUUUCUCCAAUUUUUCCAUUGAUUUAGAGAGGUAAGUGUAAGUAUGUUGAAUUAUAUUUUUGUGUUUAUAGAAAAAUUUCUCAAAUUUAAGGUUUAGCAAAAAUUAAUAAUUAUUGAUAUAUGUUUGAGGUAUUAAACAACAAUAAUAAUAUUAGUGUUGAAAGAAAUGAAAGGUGAAAUGCGUUUGUAAAUUAGAGUUUCAAUCUUUAAUUUGUUGUGUUUAUAUGUUAUAAAAUGCUUGAUUUAUGAGGUAUUAGAGUGGUAAAAGGAUUUGGGGUUAGAUUUUGAUAUUUAUAAUUAAAUUUCGUGCAAAAUUCAUGUGUAGGUGCUACUUCUAAAAUUCUGCCCAGAAAACUGCUAUUUCUGUCAAUGGUUUCGAUUCCAGAUUGCAAUAUACAGAAAUUGGUGCCAGAUUUCUAUAUUCUAGAAUUUUAUUUCUAUUUUUGUCAAACCUUGGAUUUCCAGAUUUUUAAAGGUUUGAAUGAAUUUGUAUGACAAAUAUUGAAGUCUAUGUAUUGGGCUAACUAUGUAUAAGGGUUGUAUAUGUACAACUAGUGAUUUUAAGGAAGUGUGAGUGGUGUAAUGGAUUUGAUAGUGCAUGGUGAUUAGUUGAUAAAUCAUUAAAGAGAAGAACAGUUGGGGAAUUUGAGAUGUAAGAGUAAGUAUAAAAAUUGAGAAGUUAAGUGGUGGAUUUGUAUUAUUUAAUUGUUAGGUUUUUAAUUUGAGAAAUUAUAUCGUUAUUUCAUAUAGGGACGUGAAAGCUUGGAAAUGCUCGUCAAUUUAAUCAGAUUUCUAUGUAUAGAUUUGUGAGUGGAAAAGCUUCAAUAAUUUCAAAGUAUUUAUAAAUUAAAUAUAUUAUUAAAUUAUGUGAAUUAUUUGCUCAAUUAUAUGAUUACCAUUAAAGUUUUUUUUAUCAUGAUACAUGUGGAAUUCUAAAGAUUGUAUAUGGUGCAUUUGAGAAUUGAAACAUGAGACGUGAUACUGAGAUCGACCAGAAAAGUACCCGUGAUUAUAUACUUCUUCUAAUUCACAGAGAGGCCUUGUCCGUGUUCUAUAGUACAUUGAUGGGUCGAUUGGUGAUGAAGGGGUUGUGGCCGUGUAUAUAUAGUUCACUAAGGGGCCUUGGCCGUAUUUUAUAAUUGGUUAUCUGAGGUCUUUGAGACCCAUUUUCGUGUACGAAGGUGGCCAAAAAGCCUAUGGUGAAAAUGCUUGACCCGAGAGGCGGAUUUCAGAUUUUAGUCAGAGGGUACAUUUUUUGUGGAUCACAUGUGAUGUAACAAGAUAAUGGUAUAGAUAUCAGCUGAUGACUACAUCAUGAAUAUGAGAUGAUAUUUGUGAUCUGCCUAGUCAUACUACCAAGAAUUGUAACAAACUUUCGUUGUGCCUUGAUGCCAAUUGUGCUACUGCUACUGCUACCUCCAAAAAUAGAAAAUGGCUUCUAGAUUCCACUGCCUCUCACAAUAUUACCUUUGAUUUGACAAAUUUGCCUAUUCACUCGGAGUAUGAUUGUCAAAAUGUUGUUCUUGGAGAUGGUACCUAUUUAAAAGUCACUCACAUUGGCUCAACUUCUCCUUACUCAUGAUAAUAGUGUUACUAAUGUUACUAUUAAAUUUUACCCUUUCGUUUUCUUAGUGAAGUAUCGAAUGAUGGGAGUGGUGCUCAUGCAUGGUAAAUGUGAAGAUGGAGUCUAUUCGAUUCGGUAGCACUAUGACCUCUCUCUAGCGAAGCCCAUGCAAUAAGCCUUACUGGAACCUGAGUCUCUUUUUCACAAUGGCACCAUCGUUUGGGGCAUCCUACCCCCAAACUUUUAUCAUUGUUACUCUGCAAUUAUUCUUUACCAAUUUUCUUGUCAAAGUCCUCUUUCUUGUAUUUCAUGUCAAUGCAAUAAAUCUCGUAAAUUGCCAUUUACUUGCACUUUUCUUACAAGCCAUGCUCCGUUAGGGUUUGUGUAUGCUGAUGUUUGGGGUCCUUAUCCAGUUACCUUUACUAAUGGCUUUUCGCUAAUAUGUCUUUUUUGUUAAUCAUUUCACUAAAUAUUGCUAGUUUUAUCCGAUGAAGAACAAAUCUGAUGUUAGUCUUAUUUUUGUUCAAUUAACUACCAUGCUUGAAAAUCUGUUUGCUUGCGAAAUAAAAAAUCUGUAUUCUGAUAAUGGUGGUGGAUUCAUCAAAUUAUGUUCCUUUUUUGGCUCAACAUGGUAUUAAUCACUUUACAAUAGCUCUCCAUAUGCCCCAG
rnacentral:lncRNA from 1 species